rnacentral:rRNA from 1 species
UAGGGAAUCUUCGGCAAUGGGGGCAACCCUGACCGAGCAACGCCGCGUGAGUGAAGAAGGUUUUCGGAUCGUAAAGCUCUGUUGUAAGAGAAGAACGUGUGUGAGAGUGGAAAGUUCACACAGUGACGGUAUCUAACCAGCAAGUCACGGCUAACUACGUGCUAG